GAUUAGCUCAGUUGGUUAGAGCGCCACCUUUACACGGUGGAUGUCGGGGGUUCGAGUCCCUCAUCGCC
rnacentral:tRNA from 12 species